rnacentral:rRNA from 2 species
GCUAUACAUGCAGUCGAGCGAACUGAUUAGAAGCUUGCUUCUAUGACGUUAGCGGCGGACGGGUGAGUAACACGUGGGCAACCUGCCUGUAAGACUGGGAUAACUUCGGGAAACCGAAGCUAAUACCGGAUAGGAUCUUCUCCUUCAUGGGAGAUGAUUGAAAGAUGGUUUCGGCUAUCACUUACAGAUGGGCCCGCGGUGCAUUAGCUAGUUGGUGAGGUAACGGCUCACCAAGGCAACGAUGCAUAGCCGACCUGAGAGGGUGAUCGGCCACACUGGGACUGAGACACGGCCCAGACUCCUACGGGAGGCAGCAGUAGGGAAUCUUCCGCAAUGGACGAAAGUCUGACGGAGCAACGCCGCGUGAGUGAUGAAGGCUUUCGGGUCGUAAAACUCUGUUGUUAGGGAAGAACAAGUACAAGAGUAACUGCUCGUACCUUGACGGUACCUAACCAGAAAGCCACGGCUAACUACGUGCCAGCAGCCGCGGUAAUACGUAGGUGGCAAGCGUUAUCCGGAAUUAUUGGGCGUAAAGCGCGCGCAGGCGGUUUCUUAAGUCUGAUGUGAAAGCCCACGGCUCAACCGUGGAGGGUCAUUGGAAACUGGGGAACUUGAGUGCAGAAGAGAAAAGCGGAAUUCCACGUGUAGCGGUGAAAUGCGUAGAGAUGUGGAGG